AGAGUUUGAUUAUGGCUCAGGAUGAACGCUAGCUACAGGCUUAACACAUGCAAGUCGAGGGGCAGCAUGGUCUUAGCUUGCUAAGACUGAUGGCGACCGGCGCACGGGUGAGUAACGCGUAUCCAACCUCCCCCACAGUAGCGGAUAGCCCGGCGAAAGUCGGAUUAAUACGCUAUGUGGUGCAGUAUUGGCAUCAUGGCCGCACGAAAGAUUUAUCGCUGUGGGAUGGGGAUGCGUCUGAUUAGCUUGUCGGCGGGGUAACGGCCCACCGAGGCGACGAUCAGUAGGGGUUCUGAGAGGAAGGUCCCCCACAUUGGUACUGAGACACGGACCAAACUCCUACGGGAGGCAGCAGUGAGGAAUAUUGGUCAAUGGCCGGAAGGCUGAACCAAGCCAAGUAGCGUGCAGGACGACGGCCCUACGGGUUGUAAACUGCUUUUAUAGGGGAAUAAAGUGUGGUACGUGUACCGUUUUGUAUGUACCCUAUGAAUAAGGACCGGCUAAUUCCGUGCCAGCCGCCGC
rnacentral:rRNA from 1 species